AUUAUCUUCAAUCGCACUUCACUAUCCUUCUGAAUCUUAACUGAUCCAUCCGAAGUUGUAUAGUUUGGCAUAUCUCCAGAUUGAAACUCCAUAUCAUCAGGUAUUAGAUGGUUUGAAACAAAAAUUUGAACUGGUCCAGCUUCAGCAAAAAAUCCCAUCUUGUUUACCAUGGUAACAACAGCUUCCAGAAUCUCUCCUUUAAACGGCCUGAACACAACACACUGGUACUUCACUGGAAAUGUCACAAAUCCUGUUCCAUCUCGGAUCAACCCUUUCCCAAUGUUCUCUAUGCCGGUUAUUGCCACCACAAAUCCAUGCCGACCACUGCAAGUGCCCUCGACAUCUUUCAUGAGCUUGGAGACCAGAUUAUCGCGAAGGUUGCGGCCGAAGUAGCGUGGAUGCAAUUGCAUAUUCCUUUCCAAUACUAUGUGGAAAAACAUCUUCUCUUUCUGUCUCUCUCCCCCUCUGUAUCAAUGCUUCCCUUCCCCUGGUUAGAAUGAGAAGAGACUACACAAAGGGGCAAGAUGAAUG
rnacentral:misc_RNA from 1 species